rnacentral:rRNA from 1 species
UACGGGGGGAGCAAGCGUUGUUCGGAUUUACUGGGCGUAAAGGGCGCGUAGGCGGCCAGCGCAAGUCAGUUGUGAAAUCUCCGAGCUUAACUCGGAAAGGUCAACUGAUACUGCGCGGCUAGAGUGCAGAAGGGGCAACUGGAAUUCUCGGUGUAGCGGUGAAAUGCGUAGAUAUCAAAGAGGAACACCUGAGGUGAAAGACGGGGUUGCUGGGGCUGACACUGACGCUGAGGCGCGAAAGCUAGGGGGAGCAAACGGG